AUGAAGGUGCAGCAGGAGAGGAACAAACUCCAAGAUGCCCACACCCAGCUUGGAGAAGAGCUAAAAGGUGUUCGGGCCCAGCUGUCUGGCUCCGUGAAGGAGAAUCAGUGGCUUCGUCGCGGCAUCUAUAGUGUGCUCACAGGUCGCCCUGCGGAGGAAAUGCCCGGUUCAACGGGUGACCAGCUUCCCGAGCUGCUGCAACAGCACGAACGUGUUCGGCAGGCGAUGGGUGGCGUCGUCGAGGCCUUAUGGCCGUCCGUCUCCCUACCCGAGGGUCUUGGAGGGCUUGCGGAGAAGCUUCAGGGAGCACGGCAGCGCUUCCAUCUAUGGAAGAUAUCGGCAUGUCGUCAAGGCGCCAGGGAGGCCUGGGCCAUGGUGAAGACGCAGUACAAGAAGGCGGAUCCGAACCACAUGGCCGAGGUCGGACCUGUGGGGCCCGAUGGGAAGGAGAUCCCUAUGAGCUUAGUGUACGGCCAAGUAGAGUUGGCCGCUAAGUAUUCCCAACGGGACUGUAAAUUAGACAGCCUGUUAGAUGGGAUUGAAGAGGAGUACAAUCAGUCGAUGUGA
rnacentral:rRNA from 1 species